rnacentral:tRNA from 1 species
GAGAAAGGCUUGCAAGCAACAAAGACUGCUAACCCUCGUGCCCUCGGUUGGAUUCCGAAGCUCUCUCG